AUUUUCAUUUUUUGUUUUAGCUUUUCUUUAUUGCAAUGGAUUUUCCUUUUCAUGGAUCUUUUUGUGGAAUGUGUUAUUGGUUCAAGUGAUGAUGGAUUAGAUUGGAAUUCUUUGAUGAAUUAUAACAAUUGAAUUGAUUUUAGCUGUAUUCUAUAAUGAUUUUUUGAAAGGAUAUUCUAUAAUGUUUUAGAAUCAAGGAUGAUAGUACCAUAUUGGAUAUGGUGUGCAUAGAAUUGAUGUUACUUGGUUUGAUUGGCAACUUACAUGUGUUUUUUUUUUUUUUUUUUUUUUUAAAUUUAUUACAGAGUAUUAUUUUUUAACUUUGCUAGCUCUAUGCUGCCUUCAAGAUUUGAGAAUUUAUCAAUUGUUUGUGUUAUCCCCUCAUCAGGAUGAUUCUUACUAAUGUAUUAAAUGAUUGCAGCUGGAAUUUCUAACUUUGUCAAGUGAAUUAGUUUGUAACAAGAUUAAAGGGGGAGACAAUGCAAACAGAUACAUGUGGGACAGUGGGAUUUUAACUGUUGUGCAUAAAUGGGGCAUCAAUUCCUAUCCAUAUAUACCUUCCUGUUUCAGACUCCAUUACGAUUGUCUUUAUGAGAUUCUACCUAUUAAAAAAAUUCUCAAUGUGAUUCUGUUAUUCAAUAUUUAUUUAUUGUCAGUUAACAGCAGCUAUCUUGUUUCUUAAA